GGUUUAUUAGCUCAAUUGAUUAGAGUGUUAUGCUAAUAACGCGAAAGUUAUAGGUUCAAUUCCUGCUUGGAUCA
rnacentral:tRNA from 1 species